UAGGGAAUCUUCGGCAAUGGACGAAAGUCUGACCGAGCAACGCCGCGUGAGUGAAGAAGGUUUUCGGAUCGUAAAACUCUGUUGUUAGAGAAGAACAAGGACGUUAGUAACUGAACGUCCCCUGACGGUAUCUAACCAGAAAGCCACGGCUAACUACGUGCCAGCAGCCGCGGUAAUACGUAGGUUGCAAGCGUUGUCCGGAUUUAUUGGGCGUAAAGCGAGCGCAGGAGGUUUCUUAAGUCUGAUGUGAAAGCCCCCGGCUCAACCGGGGAGGGUCAUUGGAAACUGGGAGAGUUGAGUGCAGAAGAGGAGAGUGGAAUUCCAUGUGGAGGGGUGAAAUGCGUAGAUGUAUAGAGGAAUACCAGUGGCGAACGCGGCACUCUGGUCUGUAACGGACGCUGAGGCUCGAAAGAGUGGGGAGCAAAGGGG
rnacentral:rRNA from 1 species